rnacentral:rRNA from 1 species
UACGAAGGGGGCUAGCGUUGUUCGGAAUCACUGGGCGUAAAGGGCGCGUAGGCGGUCUGAUAAGUCGGGGGUGAAAGCCUGUGGCUCAACCACAGAAUUGCCUUCGAUACUGUUAGGCUUGAGACCGGAAGAGGUAAGUGGAACUGCGAGUGUAGAGGUGAAAUUCGUAGAUAUUGGGAAGAACACCGGUGGCGAAGGCAGCACUCUGGGACGUGACUGACGCUGAGACGCGAAAGCGUGGGGAGCAAACAGG